UACAGAGGUCCCAAGCGUUGUUCGGAGUUACUGGGCGUAAAGGGUGCGUAGGCGGUUGUUUAAGUUUGGUGUGAAAUCUCCCGGCUCAACUGGGAGGGUGCGCCGAAUACUGAAUGACUAGAGUGCGGGAGAGGAGAGUGGAAUUCCUGGUGUAGCGGUGAAAUGCGUAGAUAUCAGGAGGAACACCGGUGGUGUAGACGGCUCUCUGGACCGUAACUGACGCUGAGGCACGAAAGCGUGGGUAGCAAACAGG
rnacentral:rRNA from 1 species